rnacentral:rRNA from 1 species
CACACAGCUCAGUAACACGUGGCUAAUCUGCCCUUGGGACGAGAAUACCCCCGGGAAACUGGGGCUAAUUCUCGAUAGGUGAAGAACACUGGAAUGUGUUUUCACCUAAAAGAUCCUGCGUUAUGCUCGUAGGUAUCGCCUAAGGAUGAGGCCGCGACCGAUCAGGUUGUUGGUGAGGUAAUGGCUCACCAAGCCUUUUACCGGUGCGGGCCGUGGGAGCGGGAGCCCGGAGAUGGGUACUGAGACAAGGACCCAGGCCCUACGGGGCGCAGCAGUCGCGAAAACUUUGCAAUACACGAAAGUGUGACAGGGCUAUCCCGAGUGCCAUCCGCUGAGGAAGGCUUUUACCCAGUCUAGAACGCUGGGGGAAUAAGGAGAGGGCAAGUCUGGUGUCAGCCGCCGCGGUAAUACCAGCUCUUCGAGUGGUGUGGAUGUUUAUUGGGCCUAAAGCAUCCGUAGCUGGCUAAGUUAGUCCCUUGUUAAAUCCACCGAAUUAAUCGUUGGAUUGCGGGGGAUACUGCUUGGCUAGGGGACGAGAGAGGCAGACGGUAUUUCCGGGGUAGGGGUGAAAUCCUAUAAUCCCGGGAAGACCACCAGUGGCGAAGGCUGUCUGCUAGAACGCGCCCGACGGUGAGGGAUGAAAGCUGGGGGAGCGAACC